AACGCUGGCGGCGUGCCUAACACAUGCAAGUCGAACGAGAAGUACGUAGCAAUACGUAUUGUAAAGUGGCGCACGGGUGAGUAACACGUGGGUAAUCUGCCCUCGAGCUUGGGAUAACCCCGCGAAAGCGGGGCUAAUACCGGAUAAGACCACGGGGACUAAAGUCUCUGAGGUAAAAGGUGGCCUCUAUUUAUAAGCUACCACUUGAGGAUGAGCCCGCGGCCCAUUAGCUAGUUGGCAGGGUAACGGCCUACCAAGGCAAUGAUGGGUAGCUGGUCUGAGAGGACGAUCAGCCACACUGGAACUGAGACACGGUCCAGACUCCUACGGGAGGCAGCAGUGGGGAAUAUUGCGCAAUGGGCGAAAGCCUGACGCAGCAACGCCGCGUGGGGGAUGAAGGUUCUCGGAUUGUAAACCCCUUUCGAUCGGAACGAAUCCCCUCCUGGUAAAUAAUCAGGAGGAUCGACGGUACCGAGAGAAGAAGCCACGGCUAACUCUGUGCCAGCAGCCGCGGUAAGACAGAGGUGGCUAGCGUUGUUCGGAUUUAUUGGGCGUAAAGCGCACGCUGGCGGUUUGGUAAGUCAGAGGUGAAAGCCCACGGCUUAACCGUGGCAUUGCCUUUGAUACUGCCUUUCUUGAGUAGAGUAGGGGGAAGCGGAAUUCCGAGUGUAGAGGUGAAAUUCGUAGAUAUUCGGAGGAACACCGGUGGCGAAGGCGGCUUCCUGGACUCUAACUGACGCUCAUGUGCGAAAGCGUGGGGAGCAAACAGGAUUAGAUACCCUGGUAGUCCACGCCCUAAACGAUGGGCACUAGGUGUGGGAGGUAUCGACCCCUUCCGUGCCGCAGCUAACGCAUUAAGUGCCCCGCCUGGGGAGUACGGCCGCAAGGUGAA
rnacentral:rRNA from 1 species